UACGUAGGGUCCAAGCGUUAUCCGGAGUUACUGGGCGUAAAGCGUGCGUAGGCGGCGCGUUAAGUGAGGUGUGAAAUCUGGCGGCUCAACCGUGUAGAUUGCAUCUCAUACUAGCGCGCUAGAGUAUGGCAGAGGCAAGUGGAAUUGGCAGUGUAGCAGUGAAAUGCGUAGAUAUUGCCAGGAACACCAAUGGCGAAGGCAGCUUGCUGGGCCACUACUGACGCUCAGGCACGAAAGCGUGGGGAGCGAACAGG
rnacentral:rRNA from 1 species